rnacentral:misc_RNA from 1 species
AUAAUUUCCCUCUAGACCUAGCUGCUAUAGAAGCUCCAUCUAUCAAUGGCUAAGACCCCCGGUCUUAGUGUUAGUGUAUAGGAGUUAUUGAAAAAUAAAGGAGCAAUACCGCCCUCUUGAUAAAACAAGAAGGUGAUUAUUGCUCCUUUAUUUUCUUUUUGUUUGGUACAUUAUCAAAGAUUCAAAUAUCUCAGAAAUAGAAAUAAUAAAGAAAAUGGUCGAAACGAAAUUGUAAAUAAAAUUCAAUUGAAAAUGAAGAAAAUCAAAUAGUAAAUAUUAAGUUAGAAUAGUAAAUAAAUAAAUACAAAUAUACUGAAGGAGUGAAGGGGGCGGAUGUAGCCAAGUGGAUCAAGGCAGUGGAUUGUGAAUCCACCAUGCGCG